ACCCUAUGUGCGGCGGCUGCGCGCUCUGCGCUGUGCGACCCGCCCUUCUUGUCGUGCUCGCACUGCCCUACCCGCGCCUGCGCGCCGGAUGCUGGACCAGAACCGGCGGAGCUGCAGUGACCAUAACUUCGGCAAAGACUGAAACCAGGACCCCCACCAGACGGAAACUGCAGACUGCAAAUGCUAGACCAUAGACUGGCUGGAGCCAGAGAUUCGAUGAUUGAGAUUCCUGAAACUUCACCCAGUUACCUCACCACUAACCAAUCAGAAGAAUGUCCAGGAGCUGAUCACACACCCUGGGACCCUCACCCUUAAUGUUGCACUGAAAGCCAUUGGGGAAUAUGAGUCUUUUGAACACUAGCUCCCCAUCCUCCUUGUUUGUCACCCUGCAAUAAACGCUGUACUUUCCUUCACCACAACCCAGCAUCAGUAGAUUAGCAUUCCGCAAUAUUGGCAGAAUCGAGCAGUUGCAAAAAGAGACCAUAUGGCUCUCAAAGUCUGAAAUAUUAUUUGGCCAGGCAAAACUAUAAAAAAAAAAAAGAUAACUAAGUGAAAAAAUAUAUAAUCUGGGCCUUUACAGAAAAAGUUUGUGGUGUACUGAUCUAAUCCAUAAUUGCCAACCUGCAGUUCCCCCAGCCUCACCACACUCCUGCUCCAGGGCAAAAGUCAGGAAGGAGCAAACUUAGGAUGCACUUCCUGCUUAUGAGCACCAGUCCUGGUCCUAUUUUAGAAAGCUGUAUUAUCCUGCCAGCUUCAAAAACUAAGAAGAAAUUCCCCCAAUAUGCAUCCUGAACAAAGAUCCCAAAACAGGAGAGAGGGAGGUGCUCUGCUUUCCACAUUUCACAAUGAAGGAGCUGUGGCAUCACAGUUCUCCACCCCCAGCAUCCUGUGUCUCCGCUUUUGAGCUUCUAUUUCCUCUGAUGGAAAAACGCUUCCUUCCCUCUUUGCUGGGCUAACCAUUUCAAGAAUCAGUUCAGACAUGACUGAUGCCUUCCUUCGUCUCUCACAGAUCCUCUCCUUAGAGGUUCCUGGUUCCUUCAAGCUCUCAUUACAUCCUGGCUUGACCUCUAACAUGGUCCCUACCAUAUGACAUUCAAAUUAUUAGUAGAUGAGUUUCCCUAACAUGACCAUGAGCUCUUCAAGGACAGGGCAGGGCCCAAGGGCAAGGACCAUGUCUCAGUCAUUUUGGAAUUCACAGCAUGCAUGGCAGUGCUGAGCACACAGUGGGCACUCAGUAUAUACCACUUAUUGAACGGCACUGAACACUGGUGGAUUAGUCAGCUCAGGCUGCCAUAACAAAAUACCACAGACUGGCUGCUGGCUGCUGUGUGGUUUAAACAAUGGAAAUUUAUUUUCUGGAGGCUAGAAAUCCAAGAUCGAGGUGCCAACAAGGUUGGUUUCUACUGAGGCCUCUCUCCUUGGCUUGCAGAUGGCUACCUUCUGGCUGUGUCUUCACAUGGCCUUUUCCUCUGGGCUCUCAUGGAGAGACAGAUCUGGUAUAUCAUCCACUUUCUUUUUCCCCACAUCUCUUUAGCAUAUACUAAAUUCUCACAAAUAUUUAUUUCUAUCUCUGAGCUCCCUAGUCUGAUGCAUAAAUUUGUCCAUUUAAUGUACCGCACUGUUUGAAUUAUUGUAGUUUUAUAUUAGCUUUUAAUAUCUAGUAGAGUUAGUCCCACCUCACUGCCUUCUUCAGAAAUUUCCUGGCUGUCCAAGCUUGUUCAUUUUUCAUGUGAACUUUAAAACCAGCUUAUUCCAUAUCCUCUUCCACCAAAUCUUGGUGAUUUUAUUCAUCAUGUUAAAUUUAUAGAUUAGUUUAAGGGCAUUUAUAUCUUAUGAUCCAAGUUCAUGGCAUGCCUUUAUAUUUGUUCAAGUUUAUUUUUUAUCCUUUAGUAAUAUUUUAGUUUUCUUCAAUAAGUAUUUCACAUUCUUGUUUUGUUGGUAACUAGGUUUUUUCUUUUUUUCCUUUUUUGUUUCUAAUGUAAAUGGGAGUUCCCCAUCUGCAUACCUGUUAACUGCUUGUUGUUUGUAUACAUGAAGAUUUUUGAUUCUGUACAUUUAUUUUGUACCCAGACAUUGUAUGAAAUUCUCUUAUUGUUUGUAAUAUAAUUUAUUUGGGUGCUCUAGAUGUGUAAUCAUAUUGUCUGAAUAUAAUGAUAACUUUACCUUCUUUCCUAUUUUAUAUCUGUUAAUUUCCUUUUGAAUACUUGCUUGGGCUAAUACCUCAAGAACAAUAUUAAAUGAUAGUGACAAUA